UGGUCAACAUUAAAAGCUAUUGAAAUGGUUUUAAUUUAAAAGCACGAAAACAACAAAAAAAGGUUUCCUUCCAAAUUGAAUUGGUUUCACCUUUUGAAAGGCGUAAAAAUAAAGGUUCAAUUUAAGCGUGGAUCAACACGAUGAUCAUCUUAUUUAUCAUCUUCAUCAGAUCUUCAUCAGAUUAAGGGAGAAGAUGAAGAAGAAGAGAGAAAAAAAUGAACAUCAAAGUCAUCUUGUAUUACAUAAAGACCAUUGAAAAACUAAUGGAAUACAUUGACUUUUCUUGUUUCUCAAUUUCAUUUAUUUUCCUUUUCCAUCUUCAACAUCAUAAUAUCAAUUUCAUUGUGAUCAAACUGAAUCAACAGUUAAACAGGGUCAAUCAAAGGCAUUCAAGGAUAACAUUGUUCGCCCUCCUCAACAAUCAACCAACACCUCGAUCCUCAUCAUCUUCAUCAUCUUCUCUCUUCUUCUCUCCCUUAGGCUUUUCAAACCUCAAUGAUCAUCAACUAAUGUAACCAACUUCCGACUAAUCCAUGAAGAUGACGUUAAUUUAAUGUUCCUCUUCUUUCAAAGUUAACUCAAUUUGUGUCUCUUCUUGUUACUCAUCAUCAGCUGUUUUUGUCCCAAUAUUUCAUACCAUUUGUCUAAUGUAUUAAUAUUGUCUCAACUCAAUCAAGCGAAUUGUUGUUUCCCUUAAAAUGUCUUCUUUUUGUUCAAUUUCAAUUGCCUUUUUGCUACAUUAUUCAACCCUUUUUAUCAUUACAUUUCUGACCCUUUUCAUAACGCUAUUCACCGUUAACAUGUUUAAUAAUCAUUUAAAGCUUGAUCAUUUUCAUUGUUACUGUUUUAUAUUCAAAACCUUUUAUUUUUAGGUUUAGAUUCUGGUUUAACAACCCAAAAUACCGAAAGUAACUUGCACUUUCAAAUAAUUGUUUUAAAUCAACUCUGAUUACCUUGAUUAUCAUCUGAAUUGUUGAACAAUCUUCAGAUGGAAAACAAAAAGGGAGAAAAGAGCCAACAAUUGUUACUCUUGUUACCAGUGAUUAUUAAUUUAAUUACAUUCUUGCGAUGAUCCAAUGAUCUUGAUCAUCAAGGGAAACCAGUUUUUGGUUAGUUAACCAGAAUUGGUAACUUGAUUAAUACACUAAUCAUAAUGGUAAUCAUAAUAAUAGUAAUUUUUUCUUUUCUCUUGUUUUUAUACUCUUUCUACCAUUGAUAACCGGUUAUCAAUUAGUUGUCAUGUUGUAUUAACAACAACAACCAUAAUGAUAAUCAAAACCCUUAAGCUAGAACGGUUAAAUCAUUUUCAUCGUUUCCAUCAUGAUUCAUGAUUAGUAUUAAAUACUGAUCUCAGGCAAAUAAACAAAUUAAAUCACCUUCAAAGAGGCAAACAAAAACAAAUCAUCAACAUAAUUUAAAGUUGAAUGAAAUUUGGGUAAAAAAAGGAGACCAAAAAAACUGGUAAAAAAAGGAGUGUUUCAAGAGUUUAGACUGUUUUGUUUCUUGCUACUAACUGUUAACUUAAUUUUUAUUGUUGUGUUGAUAAUAGUCUCAAGGCUUACAUGAUUAUAACACUUGAUUAUAAAGGUUUCCCUAAUUAUCAACUUUGGUUCCCAUGAUUGAUUUAAGCUGAUAUUGAGUGUCGAGAGAUCAACAUUGGCUUCUUUCAUGGUUAUUAUGGUUUGAAGAUGAUAAAAGUCAAAGAGAGGAGUCAUUUUGUGGUUUGAUAAUGCCAAUAAUGUAAAGAUGAGAAUGAUGAUGAAAAGGAAAGAGAAGAUGAAAUUGGCUUAAAAUUGGAUUAAACCAGAAAAAAAGGAAAAUCUGUUGAAGAUAAAACGCUAAGGAAAACAAGUCUUGACUGUUAAACCCUUAAGAUGAUUUGAAGGAUAAUCAAUAUUCGAGCAAAUAAUUGGCCAAAAAAUGAAAGAUGAUCGAAAUGCUGAUCAUCAUUAAAAUCAUUUUUCUCAUCCUCAUCAAACUUGUUCAACUCAUACAUUUGAUGAACAAUUUAUUUUUAACAAGACACGCUUUUUUAUUAAACUCAACAUUUCAUUAUCAAAA